GUUGGCUGGUGCCUAUUUCCAGCGGUGAAAAGGAGGAGCUGACCCAAGUGGCUGGGGAGAGGGAAGUCUGGGCCUGCCUACUAAGGUUGCUACACCCGAGACCCAACCCCGGAUAAGCAGAAGAUGGAUGGAUGGAUGGUCUUUCCAUGGUUUAACCCACCUCUCCCCCUUUGAUCGCUGGAGAGCACCAGCUUCCCCGCGACCCUGCAUAGAUAAGCGGGAUUUCUGUAGGAUUAAGAUCCAAAGAUUGAGAUGGGCAUGGAACAGGCCCAGAGUGGCUAAUCAGGAGGACCAGGACGAUUACCGGUGGGCCGGUCUGAUAUUUGGGCCACAAGGGCCGUUGUUCUUUCCCUUUUCUUUUUUUUUUAGCCGCUGUUCAGUCAUGACACUAGAGUGGAUCACGUCACUGCGCUGCUACCGCUAUCCAUGGCUGCCUCCACCUCCACUGACAACUUAUGUUAUUUUCACACAUCCUGAUGUUACGUAUGUACUCUCGGUCAAUGCUGUUUGAAAGGCGUAGAAGGAGCAGGACAGCACAGUGGAGAUUGCUUAAUUAAAGAGCAAAGCUGUGAAAACAUCCACUGCUAAAUGUGCAAAAAUUGGUAGCUUUUUCAAUAAAAUGAGAAUGAAACAUGCAAUGAGAAUGAUUAAAUGGGCAAGGAAAUAUGUUGAACUUUCCCUGCAAACCACCCUACGGUUUAAUUACUAAGUCACUGAAUUUUGUGAUGUCUGGGCACAUAAUGUAAUGUUAUAUAGUUUAAAUAAUAGUCUGAUGCAAUGUCACGUGAAUUUUUGUCUUUUAGCCCCUCAGAGUCAAAAGUAAGAUACAACACCAAAUACCAGCCAUGAGUGCACAAGUCCUGAGUGGGCAGGUAGCAUUAAUCAUUAAGUAAAUAUUUGAAUUGUUAUAGUGAAGAUUAUGGUGCUGUUCUGUAUGAAUAGUGGCGUGUGAUGUUAGAUGAUUCAGCACUACAUUCAUGAAACUGACCUGAAUUUAGCAGAUGGCUUUGUAACAAGGAGUGAUUUCAUUUGUGCUGAGAAUUAUAACCAUUUUCAAAAUAGACGUGAGCGAUACGGACUUUACAUUUUAUCAUUAUAUAUUGUAGUAAUGUGUGAUAACAAUAAAAGUGAUGAUAAAAGACUAGCUUCUUGCAGUCUUUUUCAGGUAACUGUGUGGCUUUGACUGCAUGUCAAUCAUUGCCCAAUAAGCAGUAAUACAGUCCUUAAAAACAUUUAAAAUGUUAGAUAUUUUAAAACAAAAUUCUAAAUAUGUUUCAUUAAGAAGUGUGAC